rnacentral:rRNA from 1 species
GCGGCAUGGGGCGCAGCCUGAUGCAGCCAUGCCGCGUGUAUGAAGAAGGCCUUCGGGUUGUAAAGUACUUUCAGCGGGGAGGAAGGGAGUAAAGUUAAUACCUUUGCUCAUUGACGUUACCCGCAGAAGAAGCACCGGCUAACUCCGUGCCAGCAGCCGCGGUAAUA